UUCGCCUCUGGUUGCACUCCAACCAAAGUGUACAAGAUCAGUACAGUUUCAGAUCUGCAUCACUACCUCAACAUCAGUACAAAACAUAAAAGAUUUUCCAAAAAGAAAAGACCCACAUAGUAGCAGUACCUUUUAGUAAGUUGAACUCCAACAACAGAGCUGACAGUUUUUACAGGUAAAUUCAUCUGUUGCAGUGACUCUUUAAUUUGGAAAUUAAAUCAGCGGAGAGGUUGUUGAAAUAUUCAUUAAUACGUCCUUUCUAAUUUGUUCAUUCGAUUUUGGAUGGACAACUAAUUUAUGACAUGUAACCUUUCAUUUCUCUUAACUACAUAGUUCAAAAGGAAGUUGUUUGUAUGGAUCAGCAAGGUUGGUUCGAAAGGUUUGAAUUUUUUUUCGGAAUAUACUUUUCCUAUUCAAACUAAAGUUUUUUUUUUUUUGGUAAAUAAAUUUUAUUUAUUACCAAGUAAGCAGUACAAAGCAGAAUUACUCCAUACUGACAUCUCCCAAUAUGAAGUAGCCACAUUCUUCCAGCUACCUAGCUACUUUGCUACACAAGUUCAAACUAUCAUGCUACCAGGCCUUCUAGAUACAAGGGUAGUAGUUAACUCUAAGAAGUGCAUUUUGCACUCUGGGUUCUCUGCUGCCCCUCGCAUGAAGGUCAUGGAUAACCAUCCUCACAAGUACCUUAAGCUCCAUAGAUUUUUCCUGGAAAAUUCUCAAGUUCCUUUCCUGCCAAAUGACAUAAACACAGGCAGCUAAACUUGCUCUAUAGAGCAUAGCCUACGGUUGUUUGCCUCUACAAUGAUUUAUCACCUACGCUACUUCUUCCUCCCAUUUAGCAGGUGACCUUCCCACUCCUUGCCAUGAAAGAACCAGGUUCCAUAGGUGCGCAGAGAAAGUACAUUGAAAAAAUAAAUGACUAAUACUUUCAGGCUCACUUCCACAUAACACACACAUCUCAUCUUCAAUACAUCCCCACUUUACUAGUCUAUCUUUGGUCAGUAAUUUACCAAGCAGUCCCAAAUAAAGGAUGAAAAUCCAUUUAGGACAAGCUGUAGUAUUGCAUAUCAAUCUCCUCCACUCCACCUUCUGAUAUUCUCUCUUAGCUUCUGAUAUAGACUCUUUAUCAAAAAUCUCUCAAUCUGUUGCACUGCUAGCUCAGUCCAUUUAGCUGCUUUAAAGGUUUUAGUUGCCUGCAUUAUUUUCCCCACAAGCCAUGAUGCCUGAAGAGCUUGAACCCCCAUGGUGUUCCCUGUUUCCCAGAAACAUAAUAUAAGUGAACCCACUUCACCCAUAAUCUAUCUUUCUUCUUGCAUAAGUUCCAUAGAAGUUUGCUAAUUGCUGCUCUAUUCCAUGUCUGAAUAUCAAGAAAGUUCAAACCCCCUACUGCAUAAGGCCUACAUAACUGUUCCCAAGCAACCAGAGCUUUUUUAGAUAUGUCAACUCCUCCAGACCACAAAAAGUUUCUGCAUAAAGCUUCAAUACACUUAACAACUUUUUUGGGCAUAAUGAAUAUCUGAGACCAGAACAAUUGGAUGGAGAAUAAUAUACUUUUGAUGAGUUGAGCUCUGCCAGCAUAGGAUAGUAAUCUAGAAGUCCAACUCACAAUUUUCCCCAUAAUCUUGUCAAUUAAAGGUUGGUAUUGUAGGAUAGACACUUUUUUGGUACUUAGUGGCACACCUAAGUACCUAAAAGGUAAACUACCCUGUACAAAUUUAAGACUCUGUAAUACCUCUGUCUGAACCUUUUUUGGGACUCCACCAAAAUAUAUGGAGCUCUUCUCAUUGUUUGCAACCAAUCCUGAUAUUUGUGAGAACUCCAUGAAUACUCCAUAUAAUAAUCUGACUGAUAACGCAUCUCCUCUGCUGAACAAUAGUAAAUCAUCUGCAAAGCUUAAUUGGAUAAUUUGAAGUCUCUCACAUUUUGGGUGGUAAUUAAAAUUAGGAAUACCCCUCAGUUUCUUCAGCAGCCUAGAUAGAUAUUCCAUUAUCAACACAAACAGGUAUGGAGAUAAUGGAUCCCCCUGUCUCAAUCUUUUCUUGGUAGGAAAAGGAACACUGGGACAACCAUUUAGCAGGAUGGAAUAUAAUACAGUACUAAUACACUGAUAAAUCCAUUCCACAAACUUCUGAGGGAAUUGCAGUAACUCUAAAACCUGUCUCAGGUAUCCCCAUUCAACUGAGUCAUAAGCUUUCUUCAUAUCUAUUUUCAACAUACAUCGUGGGGAAAUUUGUUUUCUACCAUAGCCUUUGACUAAUUCAUUCCUCAGUAUAAUAUUAUCAUUUAUUAGUCUUCCAGGUACAAAAGCAGAUUGACUUUGGUCUACUAAAUCAUUCAUAACCCCCUGUAGUCUAUUGGUGAGAAUCUUAGCAAUAAUUUUAUAGAGCAAAGUAUAGCAAGAGAUAGGUGUAUAUUCAGUGAUUCUAUAUGGUCUAGCUGUUUUUGGCACUAGGGUCACAGUAGUAUAAUUUAUGGCUUUGUACAUUCUACCUGAGUUGAAGAACUCCAGGACUGCAUCUGUGAUCUCUUCCCCCACGAUGUGCCAUGACUGCUUGAAGAACAGGGCAUUGAAUCCAUCACAUCCUGGUGCUUUAUCAUCCCUUAUCCCCUGCAGAGCAUCCCUAACUUCUUAUCGUAAUACAGGCUCAACUAAAUGGAGUUGUUGAGCUCUAUUUAGAGUUUGACCAUCCCUCAUAACCACUGGAUUCACAGCAGGUAAACUAUUAGCACUAGUUCACAAUAGUUGUUUAUAGAAAUUCAGGAUCUCUCUUUCUAUGCCACAUCUCUUAGUCACCACCACUCCUUCAUUUGUAUUCAGACUUGUAAUACCAUUCUGAGCAUAUCUAUUCUUUAAGCAAGCGUGAAACUAAGUUGUAUUACCAUCCCCAAGUUGUAGCCAUUAGACCCUGGACUUUUUCUUGGCAAUACUCUCUUCCACCAAAAUCCACUUCUCUAGUCUAAUUUUGAGUUCUUUCUUCUCUUCUACACUACUCAUCGGCUACCCAGGUUGCUUCAUAGUGCUUUGUAAAUCUAUCAGCUUCUGUCUACACUUUUUAAUUUUGUCCUCCACUCCUCUAAACUCAGUAUUAUGCAGGUUCCUCAGUGCCUGCUUCACAGUUUUUAACUUCUGCCAUACUACCUUUAAUGUUACUCCUCCCCCAAGCUGUUACAACCACUUUAUGAAAUUUCUCAUGUUUGACAAGGUGAUUCAGGAACCUAAAUGGGUUAGGUCUCUUGUCUUCCUCUUGUGCUAGUAAAAGACUCAAGGGUGAGUGGUCAGAGCAUCCUAGGUCCAUUACCAUCACCUUAACUAUUGGAAUAUAAAGCAUCCAUUUUGCAUUCAUCAAUGCCCAGUCAAUCCUACUGUACGUAUGCCCACUAGACCAUGUGUAUUCCCUAUCAUUAUGCUUUAAAAUAUUCAUGCCAAUAUCUUCACUGAAUGUGCUGAAAUCUUUGAUUUCAGCCUCAUGAACCUGCGCCCCAAUCAUUUUAUCCUCCUCCCUAUAUAUAACAUUAAAAUCUCCCAUAGCAACCUAAGCUGUACUAGUACCAGCAUGUGUCUGUCUUAAGUCAGUCCAUAAAUGUUUUUUAGUUUCAACUGAGUGCAGCCCAUAUAUAGCAGUAAAUAAAAACUUGUAGCUCACUGCCUGAAACUGUAUUGCCACAUAAAUAUAUUGCUCUUGACUCUUCACCAAACUUCAAUCUACAAUUUUAGGAUCCCAAAUGAUCCAAAUUCUUCCUUUGUCGCUGGAUGCAUAGUUAUCUAGAAAAAUCCACCCAGGAGCUAUUUUAUUAACUACUCUUCUAGCAUGGUGAGCUUUAAUCUUGUGUUCAAGUAGAGCAAGAACACUAAUUUUAUUUUGCCUGAUAAACAAACCUACCUCCUUUUACUUGUAAACUUUAUUCAUACCCCUAAUAUUCCAAGUAGCUAGUAUUAUCUAUGCACAGGUAUUGUAGUAUUCUUAUCCCUACCCUUCUUCUCCUCCAAACCACAUCUAUUAUGCCCUCCUCCAAAUCUAGUAUCAUGCUAAUGUAGGGCAUUGAACACAUUGACUGAAGUGAUCUGAGUUUCAGCUUCUACCUGUUUUUGCAUUUCCUCUUACCUUUGUCCAUUCUUUUCCACUCAAUGGCUCAUUUCCAUCUUCUACAACCUUUUAUUGAUUCAGAGGCUUUGUAUUUUGACCUCUCAUUACUGUGGCAUCUGGAUUUUUAGUGCCGCUAGGUCCCGGACCAUCUAUAGCUUUCCCCUUACCUCUGACCUCUGGUGCAUCCUUGGUCUCUUGUCCUUGUUUGGUGUGUCAUACUACCUUCUGUAUCCCAUGCCUCCCCUUAGGUUUGGCUGCGUUAUCCUCUUUUGCCUGACAUUUGUGCCCUACAUUCAAACACUUGGGUAGUAUAAUGGCACCCACUCAUACUCAAUUGGUUGACCAAAUAUUCUACCAGUAGGGUCCUCCACCUUUAUUUCCUUGGGAAAGUCCUUCGUUAUAUCCAUCUCUACCAGUACACGUGCAUAUGAGAUACGAUCAACCGUUGUAGUACAAUUAUCAGCAUACAAAGGAACCCCUAGUCCACUUCCAAUUCGGCUAAGAGACUGCAUCUCCCAGCAAUAGAUUGAUUGGGUUGGUUCAAAAGCUUCGAAUUUUUGUUCGACAUAUGUUUCUCUUAUUUAAACUGACGUUAUCCAUACAAAUAUCUAAAGUAUUGGUACGACCUGAUACAUUUCCUGAUAAAGGAAUCAGUAGACUUGAUUUUCGAGCCAGCUGCAAUAUUUUCGGCUGCUGGCUUGCAACACCCGCUGUUUUUCCAUCCUGUACCGGCAGCUUUUAUCAGUUUUUUUCUCUUUUAUUAUGUAUGUUGAUACCUAAUUCAUCUUCUAUUUUGACAAUGCAAUAGCGGAUACCAUAAUGGAUCAUCACAAAAGAAACCACAGACUGGACCUGCAAGUUUCAGGAACAACAGGUUUCCAUAGUGCUAUACGGCGAUGACAUUCCCAAAUACGAGAACUUCUUCCUCCUUUUCCAUGUAUAUCUUAUUUCUUGUGCGAAAGAUAGGGAUCCCCAUGGCUACUUGAUAUAAGCCGGUACGUACGAAUGGGUAGCUGACAAAUACACAAUUAUUGAGCCGAUUACCAACAACGAUGGAUUGGAAGCACCACUGCCUGCUCCAGAAAAGUUGAGCACACUUUCUUUCUCAGCGAUUGAACAACAACAUCCAGGUGCUGAAUUUGACUUACUGGCAGUAGUAGUUAACUGCAGCGCCCUGCAAUACACAGCUAACCAGAGCAAACACUUUUGAGAAGCGAUUGUGAAGGAUCAAAGCAAGAAACCUUUUCUAUUUACUAUAUCGGAUGACCUAGCUGAAAAUGAAAGGACUCCCUUAUUGGAUCACCUAUACGAGCAUCCCGUCAUUCUUGACAAGCGUAUAGGCAUCACUGAAUUCCGUGGCGUGAGAUUGGCAACAAGAUAUCAAACAACAAUUUUACCAAAUCCUCAAUACGUGUAGGCAAUUACACUGAUGAACUGGGUGAAGCAGAACGAACAAAUGUUGUCGUCUUAUACUUUAAGAAGCUCCUCAUCAUCAACCUCCUCACUGAAUCUUGCACCUAUUAAUCAAGUACAAUCUGUAUCCACCAUUCGACAAUCGUUGUCUACGGUACAAGCUAUUCCUGUGGAAGGCAGAAUAUCGUUUCGCGAUCAUUCUUAAUCACUUUACUUUCUUGCCUGUUCAAACUGCAAUCACUAUGUAAGUCCUAAAACAAAAAAUGGUCCACUGUUUCAACUAUAAACUACACCGGCCAUUGGUCCCCAGGUGCGACUUCAACAUUGACAUCACAGAUUCCAACGGGACAAUUACAGCAACAGUGUCAGAAGCGUUAGCAGAAAGAAUAUUGUCCCUAACUGUCGAUCAAAUAUGACAUAGUUGUUGUCCAGGUAUAAAAAUACAUAGUAUUACCUACGGCGAAACUCCUCUUACAAUUUCAUUCCACCAGUAACUCCUAUUUAAUGUACUAUCUUUUACCUUUUCCACUUAGAAACAACCACUGUCUAUUGCCGGUAUAAAUCGCCAACUUGAUCGUAAACUGUUUAAACUCCAAUUAUAAAAGUCAGCUUUCAGAUUUCCAGACCAAAAACCAGAUGCGCUAGCUGUUGCGUCAUUCACUGAAACAGAACAAACAGGUAAGAGGCAGAAAAUUAAACCAUCCACACCCAUGAAAAAAGAUUGAAGGUAACAAUACUUUGAUAUUUCAUCUGCUACCAUACUCUGUUUCCUGUGUACCUGAGCAUGACAAUUACUCUUAACAUUUAUUAUGAAUUCAUUAUCUUUACCAUUUCAGCAUUACUAAUAACAAAUAAGCAGGUCUAACUUACACUAAAAAAUAUAAUAUAUACUCAACACAAUCAGGUAAAUAGAAUAAUCAUAUGCCCCUUUACUGCACCACCAGGAAAAACCAUUUACUUUUGGUGUUUCCAGCGGUUUACCUUGUAUUAGUUUUGGUUACUUUUGGCAUUUCCUUCAUCGAAUAUAUAAAUCGGUUUUAAAUUCUGCCUUGCUUUCUUUCGUCAUCUUCUUUAUCUCAGGUGAGUUUCAAUUUGUUACGGCUACAUAUACCUUUGUAAUGUUAAUACUUGCAGGUGGCUUAUUGAUAUAUUCACAACGCACGUAAGUUGUUUAAUGAAAAUCCUCCUAUCAUAAAACAGUAUGACAAAAAGCUACUUUGUUACUUUUGUUUUUGCCUGUAAGUUAAAAAUAAUGUACAAUGUAACUAUUCCAGAUUGGUUAAGCGCUAAAAUCUCGAGCAACAUUCUAUUCGGAAAUAAGCUACUUACAUGAACUAUCCAAUAUUUACAUCCUAAAAUAUACUCUUUUAUGUGGACAUUGUAAAAGAAUAAUUACAUCAGAAUGUGGACAUAUUCUUGGAUUAUGUAUUUUCUUGAGUUGUAACUUUUCCCCAAGGUUUUGUGGCGUGAUGCUAACUUAACCUUUCGAAUAAAAAGCUUACUUGGUUUCUCUUUAACUGUUGAUGUUUAAGUGCUAUAAAGUUUGGGACUUUCGGAGAAUUUGAUGGUUCAACUUCGGUUUUUACUAAGAAAUUUAGCCUCUUGUCUUUGUUUUUCGCAGGUAUGUGAAGAAGUUAUGGAACUUUAAUUAACCUACAGUACUCUGCAGCUGUAACUAUAUGGCAACCUUUCUUCACAUUUUGCUUAGAACUAUCCACUUCAUCAAAUGGUAUAGCAAAUACAGAUGCAUUUUGCUUCCCUAUACCAACAUCAAUUAGCAGGCUGCCUAAACUAACUUUUUGUCUUUUGAUGUAAACAACAAUCGACAUUUCAAUGUACAACCACUGUUUACCGUGAUUAUAUUGCUACUUUGUGAUACAGCCUAAUAUAAAUUGUCUCCGCUUAUCGUUCACCUCA